rnacentral:tRNA from 1 species
GAGUGUAGUUCAAUGGUAGAACAUCACCUUGCCAAGGUGAAUACGGCGGUUCGAUUCCGCUCACU